AUUGCCCCAGUAACGGCGAGUGAAGCGGCAACAGCUCAAAUUUGAAAUCUGGCCCCCAGGGCCCGAGUUGUAAUUUGCAGAGGAUGCUUUUGGCGCGGCGCCUUCCGAGUUCCCUGGAACGGGACGCCACAGAGGGUGAGAGCCCCGUCUGGUCGGACGCCUAGCCUGUGUAAAGCUCCUUCGACGAGUCGAGUAGUUUGGGAAUGCUGCUCUAAAUGGGAGGUAUAUGUCUUCUAAAGCUAAAUAUUGGCCAGAGACCGAUAGCGCACAAGUAGAGUGAUCGAAAGAUGAAAAGCACUUUGAAAAGAGGGUUAAACAGUACGUGAAAUUGUUGAAAGGGAAGCGCUCGUCACCAGACUUGCGCCCGGCGGAUCAUCCGGCGUUCUCGCCGGUGCACUCCGCCGGGCGCAGGCCAGCAUCAGUUCGCCGCGGGGGACAAAGGCGGCGGGAACGUGGCUCCCCCGGGAGUGUUAUAGCCCGCCGCGCAAUGCCCUGGGGCGGACUGAGGUCCGCGCAUCGCAAGGAUGCUGGCGUAAUGGUGAUCAGCGACCCGUCUUGAAACACGGACCAAGGAGUCGUCCUCGUAUGCGAGUGUUCGGGUGUGAAACCCCUACGCGUAAUGAAAGUGAACGCAGGUGAGAGCUUCGGCGCAUCAUCGACCGAUCCUGAUGUUCUCGGAUGGAUUUGAGUAAGAGCAUACGGGGCCGGACCCGAAAGAAGGUGAACUAUGCCUGUAUAGGGUGAAGCCAGAGGAAACUCUGGUGGAGGCUCGCAGCGGUUCUGACGUGCAAAUCGAUCGUCAAAUAUGGGCAUGGGGGGCGAAAGA
rnacentral:rRNA from 1 species